UGGGGUGUAGCUCAGUAGUAAAGCACUUGCCUGGCAUGCACAAGGGGUUGGGUUUGAUUCCCAGCACCACAA
rnacentral:tRNA from 1 species